CCUACGGGGGGCAGCAGUGGGGAAUAUUGCACAAUGGGCGCAAGCCUGAUGCAGCCAUGCCGCGUGUAUGAAGAAGGCCUUCGGGUUGUAAAGUACUUUCAGCGAGGAGGAAGGCAUUGUGGUUAAUAACCGCAGUGAUUGACGUUACUCGCAGAAGAAGCACCGGCUAACUCCGUGCCAGCAGCCGCGGUAAUACGGAGGGUGCAAGCGUUAAUCGGAAUUACUGGGCGUAAAGCGCACGCAGGCGGUCUGUCAAGUCGGAUGUGAAAUCCCCGGGCUCAACCUGGGAACUGCAUUCGAAACUGGCAGGCUAGAGUCUUGUAGAGGGGGGUAGAAUUCCAGGUGUAGCGGUGAAAUGCGUAGAGAUCUGGAGGAAUACCGGUGGCGAAGGCGGCCCCCUUGGACAAAGACUGACGCUCAGUGCGAAAGCGUGGGGAGCAAACAGAUAGAUACCCCGGUAGUUC
rnacentral:rRNA from 1 species